UGUCAAGCCCAACGAGGUGACUAAAGAAAUAAUAGGUCAAUUCAUGUUUUUGGGCGCCAAUGGCACUACACUCAGAGGCCAGUAAGCUGUCCUAGGUGUUGCAACUAUCAGAGGAAGGACCGAUUAUAUGCUACCAGAUGCCAACAAUAUAACCUUUCAUGUUUCAAGGUCCAAAUUGAUUAACAAUGCCAGUCGAGCGACAACAUCCACAACUAACUCCAAAAGUUCAGAAAAUACAGACAAAUCCAUAGUACUCAAUUGCUCUAAAGGUAUAGUUGAUCCACAGGAGAGUAGCAGAAACUCAGACACUGCACCUACCACAGAUGUCAUGCAGCCAACACUUUUCUUGAUUUAUCUAUUGAAAGCUUAACUUAUAUAUUACUUCCAGAUAGAACUUACCCAUCAUCGUACAUUUUUUUUGUUCAAGAAUACAAACUCUACAACAGGAGGAAAGGGAAGGAAGAAUGAAACCGCACCUGCGACAUCAACCAAGAAAAGCAUGGCUUAUGUGAAGAAGAAACCAGCCAAAGAUAGCUAGUGUAACUGACGAAGCAAGGAUCCAAUAUAAUGUUGCUACUUUGGCUGCUUUGAACAUCGAGGACACCCUUUAUGGCACAAUUGAUCUAUCUACUAUAACUAUGUGUAAUAGUCUUAGUUAUGCUAAUCUCCAAAUGUGCUCCUGUGUUUUAUUAAAACUCAAAUCUUUUAUGUGCUACUCUCUUCA